AGGACGGGUUGCAUAUGUAUAGUUCCGGAGGGACCAGCAAGUCGACAAUAGCUCUCAGUCUCCCAGAGAUCACCAGGAUCGAACAUUGUGCAUAUCUAUUGUGAGAGGGAAUUCGAGCAGACGAAAUGACAGUUAACUGGUGGAUUAUUCAGGAUGAAUAGUUAACCCAUACAGCUUCAUGCAAGAGUGAGGGCCGCGUGUUGCAAGCGGCGCAAUGGCGACACCCUGCUGCAAGACGGCUGGACUGCCCUGUACGAGCGGCCACUCGUUCGUACCCUGCGGCUGUUUCAGUAUCAACUGCUCGUGCUGCGUAGCCAGAAAAUUUGCCACACAUUUUACUACGGUGUAUAUUUUAUGUAUGAAAGCCAGAGUGUACCAGAAAAAAUGCGAUUUAUUUCGACGCGAUUAUUUCUGCAGAUGAAUGAAUUUGUUGAACUGUUGAGCCGAUGUUGUUGAACAUAGCAUCACUGUGUACAUGGUAUCUUGAUUCAUACUUUGUUACUAUCUGUGUAUUAAACAAAAGUUAGUAUAUUUUGUUAGUAUUUACUAAAAGAUACACAAA